rnacentral:rRNA from 1 species
GACGAACGCUGGCGGCGUGCUUAACACAUGCAAGUCGAACGGAAAGGCCCCCUUGUGGGGUACUCGAGUGGCGAACGGGUGAGUAACACGUGAGUAACCUACCCUUGACUUUGGGAUAACUUCAGGAAACUGGGGCUAAUACCGGAUAGGAGCUCCUGCUGCAUGGUGGGGGUUGGAAAGUUUCGGCGGUUGGGGAUGGACUCGCGGCUUAUCAGCUUGUUGGUGGGGUAGUGGCUCACCAAGGCUUUGACGGGUAGCCGGCCUGAGAGGGUGACCGGCCUCAUUGGGACUGAGAUACGGCCCAGACCCCUACGGGAGGCAGCAGUGGGGAAUAUUGCACAAUGGGCGGAAGCCUGAUGCAGCAACGCCGCGUGCGGGAUGACGGCCUUCGGGUUGUAAACCGCUUUCGCCUGUGACGAAGCGUGAGUGACGGUAAUGGGUAAAGAAGCACCGGCUAACUACGUG